UUUUUUUUUUUUUUUGCAUCCAGAGGAUGUAAUUCUUUGAAUUUGUGAUCAUGGAUGUUUUAAAUUUGAACAUGAUUGUGGGUUUGAAGAGAGAAAUUGAAUAUAGCAGUUAUAAUGUUGGGUUGGUAGUUUAAUAUCAAUGUUAAAUAUGUAGAAAACAUUCUGCUUGCCAUUGUUCUAAAAGGACGUUCUGUUAGUAAGAUGAAUAGAUAACUCUUGAAUGUACAAAUUUAAUAUUUAAACGGUAAUUCAUAUGUGGUAGGAGGGGAUCGAACCUCUGCAACCUUUGAAGAGACGUGUCAUUUACCAUAAAGUUAUACUCUUUUUUAGAUAUAAACGAAUACCACACAGUGAUAGAUGGAUCAGAUUCAGUACUCUGAGAAGUACUUCGACGACAUUUAUGAGUACAGGCACGUGGUUCUCCCACCCGAAGUGGCUAAGUUGCUUCCUAAGAAUCGUCUGCUAUCGGAAGUAAGCAAUUUUGUUUUCUUAGUUUCAAAUUUAUGUGUCUCGAUUUUGUUACGAAAGGAAGUAUUAUCUGAUUGAUUGGGAAGAAACUUAGUUCAGUAGUUGAAUUCUUAUUUCCGGUUUAGGUAUCACUCUUGAGAGACCCUAUGAAAUAGAUAUUAUUCCGUGGACAGUUUUUCCCCUAUUUCUAAUCUUUUAUAUUUUCAUAUGAUCUUGAUAUUCUCUCUUUGAUUUGGCUGAUGGUUGCAUGAAGUUGAAACAAUGUUUUUGAGUAUUUCAGAUAGAAGUUA